rnacentral:rRNA from 1 species
UGUUCCUACGGGAGGCAGCAGUGGGGAAUAUUGCACAAUGGGGGAAACCCUGAUGCAGCGACGCCGCGUGAGUGAAGAAGUAUCUCGGUACGUAAAGCUCUAUCAGCAGGGAAGAAAAAAAGUCUUUGGCUUUGGACGGUACCUGACUAAGAAGCCCCGGCUAACUACGUGCCAGCAGCCGCGGUAAUACGUAGGGGACAAGCGUUAUCCGGAUUUACUGGGUGUAAGGGGGGCGUAGACGGCAGCGCAAGUCUGGAGUGAAAUGCCGUGGCUCAACCCC